AUGAUGCCCAUCUAUCCAGCAUGGGUGUGAAUUCUUCCAGCUGUGACCCACCGCUUGCGUCAUAGGUCUGCAUUCAUCAUCAGUCCAAGUCGUGCACAACCCUGCUUGUGUCCCGGGGCGAGAUGUAAACAUCAGCCGCCGUGAAAAGCUUGUGGCCUUCAGGCGUGCCCAUCCUACCAUUUGAAGGGUUUGUGACUAGACAUCUUGACCUUUCUGUGAAUGACUUUGUCAUUUCUCAGUUUGUGACCUCUGCUAAUACGGUGGCCGACUCUUUUCUUCUUUCACAGGGGUGUGACUCUGUCCCUGGCCCCUGUGCUCUCUUUUCUGUGACUUCUCUUUCAGGUGACCACGAUGGCGCAGAAAAUCCUGCGGUUUCCAGUAGUCCUGUGGUCAGUGGCGAUAUUGAAGGAGGCUCGGUGGUUGCUGAGUUCACCUCUCUCACGGGCACGGGAUGGCCACCCGGUCCGCGAGCAGUAGAACCUCCAAGUCCAACACCUCCAGGUCUUUGGACAUCUGAACAUCUGCUCUUUCAGCACGAUCCUGGUGACAAUGUGCAUCUUCUUGGUAAUAGGGCUUUUCAGAGCUUAAGAACUGUGGUUUGUUAUGCUUCUCCUGUCUCACAGACACGGCGUAAGUUUGAGAAACAAAAGGGGGGUGGGGAGCCUCCUCCUGCUUUGCGAGCAUCAUUUUCGCAUCUCCAGUUCACUACUAUUUCUGAUCACAGCAAAGUCGCCUCCGUUAAGCUGCAACUCAACUUUGAGCAGGUAAAAUCAGGUUCUGAUCUAACAGCUAAACCAUCAGCUUCACUCCAGUUCCAAACGGGUCCUACAGGUAAAUUCAAACAAGUUUCCCUGUGGGUUCGCAACACCAGAUUCAAACCGCUUACUGAACGAAUCAAUUCUGACCGGAUUCUUUUCCACUAAAUGGUGGUGUUACAAAUUCAAUCUUUGUUGGAUGAAUUUUUAACAAAUGUGAUAUCCUUUGAAUUUUUUUUACAGGUUACCUGCCUCCAGCCAGGGUCCUGUUACUAACUCAUAUUUUUAGGGAUUACUAACCUACUGAUUUACAUUUUUAGAACUGAUUUACACCUCUAUCUUUUAUUAGUGCUUUGUGUAAUGUGGUUGCUGUUGAUUACAUAUUUUAACUUGUUAAAAUUUUCCUUAAAGGGCUACAAGCCUAUUUGCCCUUCAUUUUCUUUUUUUUUUUGUAUAUGCCUUUAAUCAGUGCAGCCUAAUGAGUUUUACAUAUCAGUUAGGAUUUAAUUUAUUUUAUUUGUGUUUUCUCUGCAUCACCUUUUUACAUGACAUGUAGAACAGGGUGCAGAACAUUUCUUCUUUAGAUAAUUCACAAAAUGCCUUCACAUUUUCCCAGAGGUACCCAUAGAUAGGUUUUUGAUCAUUUCUUUGAUUUGCAUCGAGCGCGAUCUAUCGUUUGGGCUGUCUCACUUUGUCUCCUUCUCCGAGCUCGUCCGGCCUUCGAUGUCUGCUUCCAUUCCAUGGGGGUCUCCGCCAUCUGAGGGUCGUCUUCACCUUCCUCCACCUGGGUUCCUUUCGCAUGGGGCUUCGGUCGUGGUUCGAGAUGGGUCGAGGUCGUCACUGGACUUCGCCUGGACUACGCCCGAGGGUUACAUCACCUGCCCAGCUCCGUGUGGACGCACGGGCUACCUUAUCCUUUGAAUAUACCUUUGAAUAGUUGCUGAUGAAAAUUAACUGCUAUUGAAAUAACUCUGCUUUCAAGAUUUCCUAAGUGAAUUACUUUACAAUGAUUUGCAACAGUUUUGGCCUUAAUCAUCUGGUCAGGAUAUACUCCUUUCUACACGAGACCUGUGGAGACGCUUCAUCGCUCCUGCCUUCAUCUGGAACAUGCAUGUCUACCUACAUGAGUUCAUCACGUUAAUGAGGUCACGACGUCAGGUGGUUUUUGCUUGACCACCAUGUCGUCGCGAAAGGGGGGAGUUGUAACGUGAGGAAAUAUGGGUUUUCUGUCACAAAGGUGGUGUUGGACUCAGCUGGGUCAAAGCUGGGUCGCUGAGAACUUUCACCCACAGAUUAAGACCUGAACGCCAGCGAGUCUGGGAGGAAACCAUAACAUCUGCCACCUGCAGCUUCGUGCCAGAUGAUGUUGUUCCCACAGAAGAUGUUGUUCCCAUAAAUGUAGUCAUAACAAGUCUUAAAACUUCCUUUCUUUAUUUUAAUGUUAAAGAAUAAUAAUUAUCAUUUUGCUCAUUAUAAAUGUGGUUUAAUCAAAUGAAUGAUUCUUAUGCUUUGGGUAAUUAUAAUGGAUUAAUGAAUCCAUACUUAAUUAGAUAAUGUUUGAGGAUGUUUGUUAGCGACCUUCACACACACACACUCAAGCACACACACACUCAAACACACCCACACGCAGAUUCUCACAGUAAACUCCAAAACACGUUUGCUGACGCACACGUUUGCUUUGAGAAGAGAAAGGCUUUUGGUAAGUUUCAUGCUUAAGAUUUCAGUUCGUGCUUGACAACGAAAGAGAGAGGACGUGUGAACAACCGCUAACGGGGGAACGGAGCCCACCGGCUCAAUCCCCCCCCCC
ensembl:lncRNA